CCUACGGGAGGCAGCAGUGAGGAAUAUUGGUCAAUGGGCUUACGCCUGAACCAGCCAAGUCGCGUGAGGGAAGACUGCCCUAUGGGUUGUAAACCUCUCUUGUCAGGGAGCAACGCCGGCUACGUGUAGCCGGACUGAGAGUACCUGAAGAAAAAGCAUCGGCUAACUCCGUGCCAGCAGCCGCGGUAAUACGGAGGAUGCGAGCGUUAUCCGGAUUUAUUGGGUUAAAAGGGUGCGUAGGCGGAAUGCCAAGUCAGCGGUAAAAUCGCGGGGCUCAACCUCGCUCCGCCUUUGAAACUGGGGUUCUUGAGUGGGCGAGAAGUAUGCGGAAUGCGUGGUGUAGCGGUGAAAUGCAUAGAUAUCACGAAGAACUCCGAUUGCGAAGGCAGCAUACCGGCGCCCAACUGACGCUGAAGCACGAAAGCGUGGGUAUCGAACAGGAUUAGAUACCCCGGUAGUC
rnacentral:rRNA from 1 species